rnacentral:rRNA from 1 species
AACGCCGCGUGAGUGAUGAAGGUUUUCGGAUCGUAAAGCUCUGUUGUUAGGGAAGAACAAGUGCGAGAGUAACUGCUCGCACCUUGACGGUACCUAACCAGAAAGCCACGGCUAACUACGUGCCAGCAGCCGCGGUAAUACGUAGGUGGCAAGCGUUGUCCGGAAUUAUUGGGCGUAAAGGGCUCGCAGGCGGUUUCUUAAGUCUGAUGUGAAAGCCCCCGGCUCAACCGGGGAGGGUCAUUGGAAACUGGGAAACUUGAGUGCAGAAGAGGAGAGUGGAAUUCCACGUGUAGCGGUGAAAUGCGUAGAGAUGUGGAGGAACACCAGUGGCGAAGGCGACUCUCUGGUCUGUAACUGACGCUGAGGAGCGAAAGCGUGGGGAGCGAACAGGAUUAGAUACCCUGGUAGUCCACGCCGUAAACGAUGAGUGCUAAGUGUUAGGGGGUUUCCGCCCCUUAGUGCUGCAGCUAACGCAUUAAGCACUCCGCCUGGGGAGUACGGUCGCAAGACUGAAACUCAAAGGAAUUGACGGGGGCCCGCACAAGCGGUGGAGCAUGUGGUUUAAUUCGAAGCAACGCGAAGAACCUUACCAGGUCUUGACAUCCUCUGACAACCCUAGAGAUAGGGCUUUCCCUUCGGGGACAGAGUGACAGGUGGUGCAUGGUUGUCGUCAGCUCGUGUCGUGAGAUGUUGGGUUAAGUCCCGCAACGAGCGCAACCCUUGAUCUUAGUUGCCAGC